UACAGAGGGUGCGAGCGUUGUCCGGAAUCACUGGGCGUAAAGGGCGCGUAGGCGGCUUUUCAAGCGUGCGGUGAAAGCUCGGGGCUUAACUCCGAGUCUGCCGUGCGAACGUGGGAGGCUUGAGUCUGGUAGAGGUCGAUGGAAUUCCGGGUGUAGCGGUGGAAUGCGUAGAGAUCCGGAAGAACUCCGGUGGCGAAAGCGGCGUGCUGGACCUUUCUGACGCUGAGGCACGAAAGCUAGGGGAGCAA
rnacentral:rRNA from 1 species